GACGAACCGAGCGAACGUUGUUCGGAAUCACUGGGCUUCAAGGGCGCGUAGGCGGAUUCUCAAGUCCGGGGUGAAAUCCCACAGCUCAACUGUGGAACUGCCUCGGAUACUGGGGGUCUCGAGGGUGGCAGGGGUAUGCGGAACUAUCGGUGGAGCGGUGAAAUGCGUUGAUAUCGAUAGGAACUCCGGUGGCGAAGGCGGCAUACUGGUCCACUUCUGACGCUGAGGCGCGAAAGCCAGGGGAGCAAACGGG
rnacentral:rRNA from 1 species